rnacentral:misc_RNA from 1 species
UAGGUAUAUAAAAUUGAAAUUUGAUCAAGUUAAUGAAUUUCUUUGGAAUUUAACAGAAGAAAAUAAAUGCCAAAUAAUAAUUUCGAACAAUCCUAUCUCACAUUCGCAUCAACGCAGAUUUUCAAAAGUUGUAAACAAUGAAUGGCUAACUUAUGUUUUAAUGUAAAAUAAUUAAUGUACAUUUUUAAAAUGACAGUAAAUUUAUAUAAUUUUUAUAAUCAAAUUAUAUAAUUAAUUAAAAAAUUUACAUUUUUUAUAUAGGCAUCUUCAUUUAGAAUUAUGUAAAAUAUCUCGAGAAAUGGACUUGAUAUUCGGAGUAGAAAUGACUAUGUCCAUAGGAUGUUAUUUCUGCUGGUUAGCACAAACCUUCUGCGAAAUACUCAACGUGAUACUUAUCAACGAUUAUGUGAAGAAUAGAAUAUUAUAUGCAAUUUUAGUUUCAACUUGGUGUCUCUACUAUAUCUUCAAACUCUUAUUCAUUAAUUAUGUAUGUGAGAAGAUCAGUGCUAAGGCAAAUGCGACAGGAGAUUUAAUAAAUAGAAUACCUUAUUGUAAUGUUAACCAUGAAAAUGUAAGUCAACCUUUUAAUCUUAAAUUGAGUAUGUUAAAUAUUGCUAAAAUAAAUACAUGGUUUUAACCUUCAAUACAUGCACUGGAUUAGCAUAACUCGGAUGAAUUUUCGAUGUUGUAGCACUUCAACCAAUCUACUUUUAAUUUGUGCAAAAUAUCUCUAAUACUAUUACGUUUAUUGGCUUUUUAAUCGGAAUAUUCUUUAUCUUCGAACUUCAAGCUAUAAAUUUAAAAAAAUGAUUUAAAAUUGGUACAUUUGAACCAGAGAUACAUGCAAAUAAAAACGCCGGGAAAAAUCCGAGUAUACGUAAAUCGAGAUUUUUAUGUAUGCGUAUUGAAGAUUUUAUGUUGAAUUAAAAAUAGGGAACUAAAAAUAUGUAUAUUAUGUAAAUAUAGAUUUCACAGUUUUUACUGCAAAUAGCUCAAGCACCUCUCAAAUUCUGCGGACUUGGACUUUUCCAAUUUGGUUAUAAAGUUUUUCAUGAGUUCUCCAAAUACACUGCAAC